AUGGUUUUUACCUGCUCGAGGCUGCCGGAGGACCUCCGCUGGUGCUUCGGGGAGCUCGCGAGGAAUUACGCGGAAGCCCCCAGUCUGAAGGCGCGGCUCCGCGUAAUAAAACAGGCGAUCGCUAUCCUGGAGGAGGAAUUUUGGUGGCUUGACUACCCGGGAGUGCAGACGCUUUUGGAGAGGCUCCAGGCAGUACGGAGGGAUUUGGCACGCGCUCUGCGCGCGGCGCCCGCCAGCGUCUCAUCAGCUGUUCCUGCUGCACCGGAAAGCGCUCCUGUCGCUGCUCAGUCAAGCCAAGCUCACGUUCCUGUCGCUGCCCAGUCAAGCCAAGCUCACGUUCCUGUCGCUGCCCAGUCAAGCCAAGCUCACGUUCCUGUCGCUGCUCAGUCAAGCCAAGCUCACGUUCCUGUCGCUGCCCAGUCAAGCCAAGCUCACGUUCCUGUCGCUGCCCAGUCAAGCCAAGCUCACGUUCCUGUCGCUGCUCAGUCGAGUCAAGCUCACGUUCCUGCCGUCGCUCAGUCGAACCAAGCUCACGUUCCUGCCGUCGCUCAGUCGAACCAAGCUCACGUUCCUGUCGCUGCUCAGUCUAGUCAAGCUCACGUUCCUGUCGCUGCUCAGUCUAGUCAAGCUCACGUUCCUGUCGCUGCUCAGUCUAGUCAAGCUCACGUUCCUGUCGCUGCUCAGUCUAGUCAAGCUCACGUUCCUGUCGCUGCUCAGUCGAGUCAAGCUCACGUUCCUGUCGCUGCUCAGUCUAGUCAAGCUCACGUUCCUGUCGCUGCUCAGUCAAACCAAGCCCAUGCCCACGUUACCGCCAUAGUUCCCCAGUCCAAUCCAGUCCGUGCCGUGGAUCCAGCCCCUGCCUCAGCCCUGGCGGUUGAGGAGGUGAAGUCCACAGCUAGUCGUCGGAGGUCCAGACGGCGUCGACGACAGCCGGAUUCCCCUGUCCAGGCUCCAGAGGACUCGGUCACAGAAAUCAAGCGGCCCUCUCCGCCAGCAGAGGGCACUCCCGCUCCAUCAUACGACAUGCCCACCUCCAUCGCAGGCAUCCCGGACAGCAUCUUCCUGCGGAUCCGUGCCCAAUGCGCCCCUCCGGUCCUGUUCCUGUUUGCACACUGGCUGAACUCCGCUGAGGCAGAGACCGACCCGGUAAGCAAGGAGCGUCACUUCCGUGAAGCCGCCCUGCUCAUCGCCCGGAAGCCUGCGCUGCGCGAGGCCCUGGGUUUCAUUGAAUCCCCAUCAGAGCCUGCACCCGUUCCUGCAUCAGAGCCUGCACCCGUUCCUGCAUCAGAGCCUGCACCCGUUCCUGCAUCAGAGCCUGCACCCGUUCCUGCAUCAGAGCCUGCACCCGUUCCUGCAUCAGAGCCUGCACCCGUUCCUGCAUCAGAGCCUGCACUGGCCCCAGCGUCUAAGUCUGCAUCACUGGCCCCAGCGUCUAAGUCUGCAUCACUGGCCCCAGCGUCUAAGUCUGCAUCACUGGCCCCAGCGUCUAAGUCUGCAUCACUGGCCCCAGCGUCUAAGUCUGCAUCACUGGCCCCAGCGUCUAAGUCUGCAUCACUGGCCCACUGGCCCCAGCGUCUAAGUCUGCAUCACUGGCCCCAGCGUCUAAGUCUGCAUCACUGGCCCCAGCGUCUAAGUCUGCAUCACUGGCCCCAGCGUCUAAGUCUGCACCACUGGCCCCAGCGUCUAAGUCUGCACCACUGGCCCCAGCGUCUAAGUCUGCACCACUGGCCCCAGCGUCUAAGUCUGCACCACUGGCCCCAGCGUCUAAGUCUGCACCACUGGCCCCAGCGUCUAAGUCUGCACCACUGGCCCCAGCGUCUAAGUCUGCACCACUGGCCCCAGCGUCUAAGUCUGCACCACCGGCCCCAGCGUCUCUGGCUGCACCACUGGCGGCAGCAACUCCCGCCCACGCCUCACCUCAGCCAUGCCAAGCUCCAGCUCACGCCUCACCUCAGCCAUGCCAAGCCUCAGCCCAGCCUGCAGCAGCUCGAGCCUCGGCUGCGUCACGUCAAGUUCAAGGUCCAGCUCAAGCCCAAGAUCAAGCUCCAGCUCAGUCACGUCAGGUUCAAGCCUCGGCUCAAGAUCAAGCUCCAUCUUUACGCCAGCUAG
rnacentral:lncRNA from 1 species